rnacentral:rRNA from 1 species
ACGCUGGCGGCACGCUUAACACAUGCAAGUCGAACGAAGAAAUUUCACCGUAGCUUGCUACACCGAGAUUUCUUAGUGGCGGACGGGUGAGUAACACGUGAGCAAUCUGCCUUUCAGAGGGGGAUACCAGUUGGAAACGACUGUUAAUACCGCAUAACAUAAUUAACUCGCAUGAAUUAAUUAUCAAAGAUUUAUCGCUGAAAGAUGAGCUCGCGUCUGAUUAGCUAGUUGGUGGGGUAGAAGCCUACCAAGGCGACGAUCAGUAGCCGGCCUGAGAGGGUGAACGGCCACAUUGGGACUGAGACACGGCCCAAACUCCUACGGGAGGCAGCAGUGGGGAAUAUUGCACAAUGGAGGAAACUCUGAUGCAGCGACGCCGCGUGAGGGAAGAAGGUAUUCGUAUUGUAAACCUCUGUCUUCGGGGACGAUAAUGACGGUACCCGAGGAGGAAGCACCGGCUAACUACGUG